rnacentral:lncRNA from 1 species
CUGCAGCUGCCCGCGGGGAAGGCGGCCUCACGGGCCAGCCGGAGAGCGGCCGCCUGAUGCUCCGGGAGCCAGGCCCCCCCCCCCUCCAAUAAAGCCAAUAAUUUCCUUCGCUCUCGCCCCGCAAGCCCAUGGCUGCUGUCAAACGCCCCCCUGCCAGAGUAAGCACAAUUAGUACAUAGACCUUUCUAUGGAUCUUCCCGAUCUAUGAAGGAAUAGGGAUAGAAAGAAGAAAAAUCUCUUAUGCACUGUCUGAAUCUAUGUGUCUCUCUUCUUGAUGCCACAAUAACAGGCCAGUUAUAUGAAUCUAGGAAAGAAUAUUUUUCCGCGGCUGCUAAGGCGCGCGCUGUCUCUUCUGUCCUCCUCGAGCCGCCGAGGCCGACUGCAUGAGGAAAGCACCAUCGACAUACGAGAGCAAGUUACAGAACAAGGAUCCAUCUCCUUGACGAGGGAGCUUCGAAUUGACCCUAACCACGAAAACAAUAUCUUGUUUCCUAGAAAGAUUAAUUAGGACGCGCUCGUUCUACGAAAGGAGCCAUGAGGAUGGCGUUCAGACUAACUGCAGACUAAUCCCCGCAAUGGAUCUAAAAGAACAGGGAGAGGCAUGACGAGAAAUCGAACAAGAGACCACUGCCACGAAGCGAGGGGAGACGCUGAACAAAGGAAGAGCGAGCAGCAUGCUGAGAAAAAGAGGCAUACAGCAAGACGCCAGCCAGAGUCUCAUAGAAAACAAUAAAGAAAGGGUACUAGACCUAAACUGGCGAGUACAAAUCAAGAACGACGAAAAAAAAUCCGUCAUUUUUUAGUUUUUUUCCUAAAAUACAAAUAAACCAUCCAGAUUUUGCCCAACUGAUCACGAGCGUCCUGUGGGGCCAAACUUCAUGCAUUAAUUAGUAAGCUAUGGCAAAUUCAAUUAGAGUUAUUACUUUUCUCGCUAACAAAGUUGCACUUCAUCUUAACUUUACUGCAGUUUAUCACAGAAGCACCCUUGGGUUCAUGAAUCCAUUACCGAGUUUGCUUGGAACAGACUCAGGUGGUGAAGUCAAAUUCCAAAACUGAGCAAGAUGCACACCAGUAAAGAGUAUUUAAACAGGGACGAUAAGAUGAAGAUAUUCUAAGAAGCAUUUGAAGCAAUUUUAAAGAAAGAAAAGUCAAACCUCUGUAUCCACUAAUCCCUUUCCUAUUUGUCCACUGGAACCGGUGGUCGGGGGAGGAAGGACGAAAGUGAGCAUCAAUGAUUACAGUAACAGUCUUAACUCAGUGUAAUUUGGCAGACAAUUUUCGACAAUCUCACACAAGUUGUUAAUUGGGUGAAUCUCCAAAAUGAUAUCGCCACUGCAACAAAAAGAAUUAUGUUGGGUCACACAAAGCAGCCUCGGUUAGACCCAGUUGUAUACGAAAUGGCUACUACCCAGUGUUUCACGUGAUUAUACUUCUAAAAACGAGAAAAGGGCCAAAAUCACGAUUUCUUCGUCUUAUAGAGAGGAAACUAAGAUCAAGUUUGCCCAAAUUCCAUAUUGGAAAAUUCAUCAUGUGAUGUGAUACGAUUAGGAUGGCAAAAUAUUAGUUAGACUGGGCAGCAAUAUUACCAAUUGGACUAAAAGAAAUGCAGCAGAUUUCCUGGUGACUUUUACAAUUUAAAAUCAAUUUUUUUUUAAAAUAUUAACAUAAACUAUCAAUAACUGCAGAUUAAUUUAAGAGGUUGAGAUGAAGCGGGAGAGAAAUACUCAUUUGAAGCUGUAGGAACCACAUCUUCAAACAAAUUAAAUUGCAGACUUGAAGUGGACGAAUCCAUCUCAUUGAAGAAAGAAAAAUCCACACAAACAGAAACCACGGAGAUCUAAUGGUUCCAUAAAUCGAAGUGGAUUCCAAGCGGCAACCAUAGGUUUCAGUAAAAAAAUUUCAGCUCUAUGAGAUACUUCCAGGUAAGGAGACCUAAAGCAAACUUCAAAAAACAUGACAAUAUUUGAGAAAAAAUCCACAGAAGUAAAUACAAGGAAAUAGAAUAAGAAGAACAGAGCCAAAGCUGAUUUUUGCUUACAAUGAUGUAAGAGAGAAAAAUUAUAAAUUAAAAAUUGAGUAAAAUUUUAAAACACACACAGAAGAGAACUGUACUAAGUGGAAAAAGGUAGGUGGUAUUAGAAAAAAUUACGAAACUGGUGAAAAAGAAGGUGCCAAAAGAUGCCGUUGUGAUGACAUAACAAAAAAGUGCAAAAAAUAAGGGUUGAGGGGAAGAAAGAGUGAAAUAAUGAAAGCCUGAUUAGUAAGAAGCUGAAACAAUUAAUACAGAAUACAGACAGAAUAAAAGGAAAGAAGAAAAACACAAAACAACGAGUCUCAAUGAACAAAUUAGGAACAUCAACAAACUUAUUGAAUGACCAAAGAACAAUGAAGAAAAAAAUAAGAUAAAAAAAAUGAAUGAAAAAAUAAAAUACAAAUAAUGAAUAACGGAAAGUAAUUUUCAGUUAAGUUAAAGUCAGAGAAUCAAACGGACAGUAAAAACAGAUAAUCACCAAAGGCCCAAAAAAAGAACGAAAUACGUGAGAAAAAUACGAAAAAAAGCCGCAUUAGAGCAGAAAAAUCACAAGGGAAAGAAUACAGAAAAAAAUGAAGAAAACAGCAUCCCAUAAAUUAGGAAUUAAAAUUUUUUUGUGAGUAUUUCCUAUGCCUUUUCUCUGUCCUUCAGGCGUUUUUCUUCUUUGUAUUACUUCCUCUUUUCUGUCUUUUGUUCGUCUGUUCUUCCUUUUUUUUUUUAGUUAUUUUUAUGAUUCUAUCCUUUAUUAUAUUCGUCCCUUUUCUUCCUUUUGUUCUUUUGGGACUUUCUGUUUUCGACCUCUUUGCUCAUGGGUAAGAUUUGUAUUUUGAUUGGUAAUAUGUAGUUGUUCGGAACAUGUAGGAUUCGGACCAAUACCUUAAAAAUUUAAAGGAUGCGAGAGAAUCUUAAGAAAUGCAGAAUGCUCUAUCACACAAAGAAAGAAACAAAAAAGAAAUGCGAGCACAAUUAAGAACUGAAACAGCCAUCAAAACCGUCAAAAGAAAACUGCAUGUUCGUCGAAGAAAGCCACUGGAAAAAUACAAUGUCAAGAUAUGACAUCAAAAUCGAAAUACUGUACCUACGAGUAUACAUCAGAAACCUCUAUACAAUCAACCAAUAAUGAUAUAGAUACGUGGAAAACAUAACGCCGUGAAAAGAAUGGAUCACAGAUGAGAAAAAAUAAACAAAAAAAAAAUGUAAGAUAAUUGCUGAUACUUGCUGACCUACAGGGACUUUGUAGAUUUCCGGAAUUUGAAGAAAAGUGCAUGAAGGCUGAAACAUAACAGGUGGCUACCGGAUAUCUGGAGAGAUCCAUUGCGCCACAAAGGAGCAAAGCCGCGUCAUUGCCCGAUACGACACAAACAAAUUAAAAAAACGAGAGGCAGAAAAACCCAUUCUCCUACCCCUUCCGCGGGGAGCCCUUCCACGCCUAGCAUCCAUUACCUCUCGCCGUGGGCAGUCUCCCCCGGCAGACACAACGCCGUCUCCUUCCCUCUAUUCCAGCCACGUACUAACCUCCACGAGCAUCCUCCUCAACUUCCGGCGCCUCCAGCGGCCUGCCCACAACACGGCACUCUUGUUGAUCGGUUCAGGGAGACGGGCCGGUUUCAAGGAGGAUGCAAGGAUUGCGGCAAUCGAGGAAGAAGCUACCCACAUCGACGCAUGCUUAACGCUGGAGACACCGUUGCCUCCUUCGGCGGGGGAUUCCUAUCACCCCAUGAAGACGGCGGACAACCAUAUCGCACCCUCGAUGAUCCCAAUGUCACAGAUCGAAGCUAUCACCACCACCGGUGUGGAAGGAGGACUAGACGACUCUGAACAAAGAGAGGGAUCCCACCUGAUACAUAUUUUCCCGCCCAUUCUCGUGUCACGCUCAAGAUGGUCGUGGCAG